rnacentral:rRNA from 1 species
AACGAACGCUGGCGGCAGGCCUAACACAUGCAAGUCGAACGCUCUAGCAAUAGGGAGUGGCGCACGGGUGAGUAACGCGUAGGAAUCUACCCAUUAGCCUGGGAUAACAGCGGGAAACUGCUGCUAAUACCGGAUACGCCCCUUCGGGGGGAAAGGUUUACUACUAAUGGAUGAGCCUGCGUUAGAUUAGCUAGUUGGUGAGGUAAUGGCUCACCAAGGCUCCGAUCUAUAGCCGGUCUGAGAGGACGAUCGGCCACACUGGGACUGAGACACGGCCCAGACUCCUACGGGAGGCAGCAGUGGGGAAUAUUGGGCAAUGGGCGCAAGCCUGACCCAGCCAUGCCGCGUGAGUGAUGAAGGCCUUAGGGUUGUAAAGCUCUUUUAGUAGUGAAGAUGAUGACAGUAGCUACAGAAAAAGCCCCGGCUAACUUCGUGCCAGCAGCCGCGGUAAGAC